CACCGCAAAGCCAUCGCGGGAGAGAGUGAGACGUUGAGGCAGAGAGCUGCUGUUGCGGGAAACGCGAUGGAGGAGAGGACGCUGCCAGCUCUGUCACGCCUGGUCGCUACCAAGCUCGCCGUUGGAGAUCGCUGUUCCUUCACCACUGAUGAGCCGCCGUUGGGCUACUCUGCUUCGUCUCGUGACUCUCGCGUCGGCCCAUGUGCAUCUCCUUCCUAGCUCGUCGCCUCCUCUACGUGACAGCAUCUCGCAUUGUUGUCGUUGUCAUCGCGCCUCGUCCGGCGUGCCUCACCGUCGCUGUUGCCUUCCCCUUGCCAGACUCUGCUUCUCCGUGCUUGGUCUCCCUCUUCUCAGGU